UAGGGAAUCUUCGGCAAUGGGGGGAACCCUGACCGAGCAACGCCGCGUGAGUGAAGAAGGUUUUCGGAUCGUAAAGCUCUGUUGUUAAGGAAGAACGAGUGUGAGAAUGGGAAGUUCAUGCUGUGACGGUACUUAACCAGAAAGGGACGGCUAACUACGUGCCAGCAGCCGCGGUAAUACGUAGGUCCCGAGCGUUGUCCGGAUUUAUUGGGCGUAAAGCGAGCGCAGGCGGUUAGAAAAGUCUGAAGUGAAAGGCAGUGGCUCAACCAUUGUAGGCUUUGGAAACUGUUUAACUUGAGUGCAGAAGGGGAGAGUGGAAUUCCAUGUGUAGCGGUGAAAUGCGUAGAUAUAUGGAGGAACACCGGUGGCGAAAGCGGCUCUCUGGUCUGUAACUGACGCUGAGGCUCGAAAGCGUGGGGAGCGAACAGG
rnacentral:rRNA from 1 species